rnacentral:lncRNA from 1 species
CUGUCUCUCCCCAGUAGCUUCUCCCUUGUCGUUCACUGUCACUUUACCGUCGUCUUACCACCAAACUCCUACUAGUUGCUUUCUUUUGACGUCGCCGGCCUUCCAUCGCCAUUUGUUUCACUGGAGACGACCGGUUAACGAUGAAAUGAGUAAAAUAAACUUCUGCCAUCGAUUGAAGAUGUCAAUUCACCUAGCUGUCAGUGUCUCCUCGCUUAUCUGAUGCUGGAAAAGAAUUAUUCGACCCUCAAAAUUCCUGAGCUGGCUUCCGACAUCGGCUCCUCAACAGAGAAGUGACUAAAAUUGUAAAAAUAAAAAAAUGUAAAAGUAUAAUAUACUAUAUAAAUAUAAUUAACAUAAAUAGAUACAAUAUAAAUACUAUCUUUUUUAAAAAUAUAGUAU